rnacentral:lncRNA from 1 species
GAUUAGCACUUGAAUCCGAAGCUUUAAUAGCGGAUUUUGCCGUAAUUGCAAUUAGGGCUCCAAAAUAGGGUUUUGAUACAUAAGGGGUUUUGAUCUCAAUUGACCCUUCUCUAACCUAAUUGGUAGGUCUACGAACGCAACGGUGCGCUCGGUUCGGCGAUCCGACGAGUGUAAGCGGAGAUAUUGGGGAUCGAAGCCGUUAAGGUACAGAUUGCCGCAGCUCGCGGCGAAAGCCUCCAAAAAUCAUGAGAACGGAUCGGGAGCAUCGUGGUGUCGUGGAAUAAACUCCAGAAUAGACGGAUCGCGGAUUGGUGGCCGUUCGGGUGGUCGCGCAAGAGUUCGAGCCGAACCGGGUCACGGGUGCCGCGGGAGGCCGAUUGCAAGUGUCGACGAGCAAUCGGAACGCGAGUUAAGGUGGGUUGUGUUUACCGAAGCGACUAGGUCGCCCUUUAUGUCUAAGAUGAUUAAGAAUCCACGUUGAUGCAUAUGAAUGUAAAUGAGGUAAAUAAAGCAUGUGGUUGAUUCAUGUAAUUAAUGCAUGUUAAUGAUAUGAUGCAAAUACUAAGUAGGUGCAUAUAAAAUGAUAUAGAAAUCAUAGGAGACAUGAUCAGCAUCAUGAGAUUAUGUAUGCAUGUUGACAUCAUAGAAUGUAUGCCAGAUGAAAUGUGGAUAUCUAUAGUACUUGAUAUGACAAUAGGACAUCAAGUAGAUCGAGUGGCAUUAACCUAGUGUUAGUAAACAUAGGUCGGACAUAGAUGACAUCUAACCUAGUGUUAAAGAACAUAGGUUGAGUAUGAACCUAGAGUCGGGAUCUAGGUGUGUGGCAUCUAACCUAGUGUUAAAGAACAUAGGUUGAGAACUGAACCUAGAGUUAAGGUAAACCUAGGUUGUGAAAUUGAGGCAUUAGACCUAGAGUCAGUUGGACCUAGGGUGGAAAGUGCAUUGGACCUAGAUAGGUCAAUAGUAUAGGGUUGGAUAUGGACCCUUGACUUGUGAAGUCGAUUCCGGAAUCCCAGUACUUGUGAACUCAAUAGUUCUUGGACCGCGGGUGUAUGCGGCGAUGUUCCUCUCCCACCGGAAAGAACUUUGAGGAUUAUGACUAAGCAAGAACAAAGAGCGCUAGGGUGUACGGCAUGUUCCUCUCCCUAUCGGGGAUCUUGGCUAUGGGUGUACGCGGCUAUGUUUCCUCUCCCACUAACGGAUCCCUGACCACGGUGCACGGACCUUCGGGCGGACCGUUGGGCGAUGUGGUUCUUGGCUUGCAGGCUGAGGUGCAUGCGACAGGAUCCUUCACCUCGAGCCGGGCAGAGUGCGGAUUAUCCGCUGUUGAUUGACUCGAGGCCGAGUCGGGUGGCUAGCUGGAAUAAGGUAGAUAGAACCUUGAGGGCUAGUGGUAAAUGUGAUAACCUAAGGUAGUAGAAACCUUAGAGUUGGGUGACAUGAGCUAAGAUUAGCGAGAUUGAUUGUAGAAUCAAUAAUUCUACUAGUUGUUGCAUAUAUUCCUGUUGCAUAUAGCAUGACAUCAUUGCAGUUGUGAGGCAAAGCAAGGUAAAGUUAGUUGCAUGUUUAUGAUAUACAUAUCUAUCUGUUUAUUGGACUAACUUGUAUUUGCCUCCCUUGGACCUGUUGGUCGAGCUCCUCCCUUGGGUGGCCGUACCCACUGGGAACCAUGGAGUUGGUUCUCACCCCACGUUGUUUUGGGGUUUUACAGGUUCGCACGUGAGCGGCGCGGCGGCGCGAGGCAAGGGCGUAGCUCCAUAGAUAGCGCCCUACCCCCAGAGACCAGAGCUAGCAGUACCCCGUCGACGUAGCUUAGGGGUAUAGAAAAUGAAAGCAAGCAAAAUGUAUUAAACUUGUAAUAACUUAGUUGCUUUGGAAGUUGAAUGUAAUAUAAAGUGUGAUGUAACUAAAUGAAUCUAAUGUGAAUGUUGUAAUAACAUAGGAUGUGUUUAUGUUGAUUGAUACCUUCCUGAUGCAAUUCUGUUUGCUGAGUACUGUUCCUGGUUGGAACCCUUGUAUUGUACUUGUUGCGACGCCUAGAACGUACAGGGGAGACUCUGUCCGCGUACAGGGGAAACCCCGGUCCGUUCGGCGGUCUGUCGGCGUGCCCGAACCGGACCAAAUUGGGAGCGGUCUCGGGGCGUGACAAUAAAGGUGGUCUUUUGUGCGCAGGGGCGAAGACUCAUUUUCAGGGUACUACACGCCUAUUCAUAGAUUUGCCCUUGCGUUCAUUUGUUGUUAUUGCACGAUCGGCCAUCUUCUCCGGAUUUGGAGGACCAUGUUCGGCCGAUUGGAACCGCCGUUUGGAACCGCUCAUAACCGCUUGCGGUUGCCACGUUUUUGAACAAACGCAGCUCAUAUCUCCUGGCGCAUUUCUUCCGUACUCUCGGUCCAGCGUUUCGAAUCCUGAAUAUGGAUAUGAACUCGGUGUGCCAACUGUCCGCGCCGGAUUGGUCCAACAAUAUGUUGAUUAUUUUUAUUUGUAAGUUUGUAAUUUUUAUCUUUUUUUUAUUAAUAUAUUGUACUCCAUUGCUUUAUAUCCAUAUACUUUUUAGAUGACUUUUGGUAUAAGAAUUAGACAGAUUACAUAUAUCUUGUCCAUUAUAUGCGUGUCUUUAUGCCCUUUUUAAAUGCUUUAUGGACAAUUUAGCAGUUGAACUUAAAAAAAACCAUAUAAAUGGUUGUGACAAUGUUGGGAUCUUAUAAACAAUUAAGUACAUAAAAUUAUUUUGAUAUGAUUAAUAGAACUCAUGUUACAAUUGUUGUUAUUCACCCAAAUAUAUCAAUUUUUAAUAGGGGGUAAUCUCACCUCCAACAUAUAGGAGAUAUUUUUAUCUCACUUUUUCCAAUCAACCAAACAUAAAAAAUAAAAACAGAAAAACAAAUUUUCUUUUCCUUUUCAUACAUUCCAAACAAUAAUAGCUGAAAAAUAACUUUUACUUUUCUUCUAACCAAACGUCACAAAUCAUAAAAUUAGUUUUCAGAAAAGUCUUUUUUUAAAAAAAUAAUUUUAAUUCAUAAUUUCACGUAGAACCAAACACAUUAAAAUGUAUUUUAAAAUGAACGUGAUUGUAAAUAACUAGAAGAUCAGGNAUCUGACAACCCAACGAUUACCGAAUAUGGUACAAUCUCUGUACUACUAAACUAUGAACUCGAUAACUGAUGCAAACAAACGGUAGACACGAGUAAGCGUAUACGAACACUCCCAGCGAGGGAUGUUCGGCCGUGAGGCCUCAACCUGAUGCACUGAAUACGAGCGAGCAUGCCAUAGCUCUUUGGAUGCUCCAGCCCUCCCUAUCUGAGUAAGCAUCUCACCCUUACGACCUCAUGGUGGCUGUGAAUCCGCCGUGUUCGACCUGGUGUGAAUACAUCCAGGAUCUUGUACUAUCUUUUUACUGUAAUUUGGCCCUAUACUGUCAGUGAUGAUCUAUCCGUAUCAUCAACCUAAUGCAACUGUACGAAUAUCGCAUCGAAACCCUGUACAUCAUAUAAACUAUCAAAGUGAACAACGUAGUAUCAUAUGAACCAACGGUACUAUCUUAUACAAGUAGUAUAUAACUAUCUAACCUAGUAUUACGGAUAACGAAUAAUACAACCCUGUAUAAUCAGUACGUAACCUGAAUGAAGUAGUACUAUUCUACUUACAUGUUUUACAACUGUAGUACAAUGAAUACUGUAUCACUAAAUCGAGUAUAAAGUAUGAAAGUAUGGACAUCAAUAAAACAAUCAUAAUAAUGAAGAGCAUAGAUGGGAAUAAAAAACCCCGGAUCACCACGUAAUGCGAUUCCAGUCAUUAACGGGUGACCUUUGAUAUUUAAUAUCAAGAAUGCGGGAGAAAAAGAAUAACAAUAAUGUCUCGGAAGCUACGGCCCGCUCCGAUCCCUGACGCCUUUCCUAUAGCGGAGCCAGAUCGACGGCUCCCUGCAAUGCUAACCACCAGGUGGAGAGCAACUAAAAUAAAACUUCUCCAAAACCUGUCAAUGGACACAUAUCUCUACUGGGGUAAAACCUAAAGAAAACACUACCUAUAACAUAGUGAAAUACUAAUUAAAACACCUAAUGAAAGGAAAAUAAAAAGAGAAGAACGAAAAUCAGAUCAACAAUCAUCGAGACUAUAGAGAUGUAUGAACAAAGAAGAGCGAAAGCGUAGAGAAAACAGCAUCUGCGGAAUAUACACGUCCGUAUACCGCCCAGACCCGUGCGCGGCCCGCCCGGAUACGGCCCAGGGCCCCGUACUGUCUAUUCUCACGUGGCUGCCAGUGUACCAAGUGGUGGUACUGUGUCGUGGGUGCCCAUUCGGGAGAGCUUAGUGAGCUCGUAGUUGUUUCGCCGUGAGGUGGUGAAUCCGAUAGGUUCACAGUGCGGGGCCCUGGCCGCCUCCGGGAGGGCUACCGCACGUGUCUGGGCGGUAUACAGAUGUGUAUAUUCCGCAGAUGUUGUUUCGCCUUCAUUUUUGUUCUUUAUCUUGCUUAUCUUAUUAUUGUUGAUUGCUAUAGUCUCGCUCAUUUCAAGAUAGUAGAUUUGGUCUCAUUUUCUUUAUAUUGAUUUGUUUCAUUCAUUUCGUAGUCCACUAUGUUAUGAUUGCGGAGUUUUCUUUAUGGUUCUAGGUUUUCUUUCCACCAGAGAUAUGUAUAUGCCCAUGUUGAGAGUUGGAGAGUGUUUUAUUUUUGUAGCUCUCCAUCUGGUGGAUCGCUGAGCAGUGAGCGACUUCUCGAUCGAGCUUCGGUGCGGGAAGGGAGCCAGGGAUCGGAGAGGGCCACACCUUCCGAGACUUUCUUUUGUAUUUUGUCUCCCGCACUAUUGAUAUUAAAUAUCAAGGGUCACCCAUUAAUGACUGGAGUCGAGUUACGUGGUGAUCCGGGGUUUUCUUUUCCCAUUCAUUGCUGUUAUUAUUAUUCGUUAUUCCUCGCUGAUGUUAUUGAUGACUUUCUUUCGUAUAUACUUUACGAUAUAAUGAUACAGAGUUCAUUCGUACUACAUUCAUACUACAUGUAGAUGAGAUAGUAUUUAUUCAUGCAGGCUACCGUUGUUCAUUUGCGAUGACAGGUUCUACAGUACGUAUUUCUUACUCGAGAUAGUACGUUGAGUCAUAUGUUCUAUGUCUCGAGUGAAGUUCCAACAUACACUAUGUUUAGUGCCUCUUUAUGACACUUAAACAUUUACAUAACCUGUAAGGUACCGGACUUCUAAAACUAUUAAGUUACGGUUUACAUUCGAUUGGAGAGCCAUUUGAAUGGUCCCGGUGAAGUUUGAUGAGGUUCGGGAGCUAUCGGGUGUUUCGGUGCGCGUAGGCGCUAAAACGGACCCGAAAGGCUAACUUGGGCCGUGAGCUAAAUCCGGAAUUAGCGAGGUUGGAAAGAUGAUGAAAACAUGUUUGAAAACAUGUUUGGAGAGUCUCGGUUCGAUUUGAGACGAAUCGGAGGUCAAACGAACGAAAACGGGCGAAAACGGAGCGAAAACGGACGAAGCUGAAAAUUGGCUAAGUCUGGGCUGGAGGUCUCUCUGGGACCGGUCCCAGGUAGAGAGACCGGUCUCUCAGAGACCGGUCCCUCAUGUAGAGACCGGUCCCCGAACCCCGAAAAUGCCCAGUUCGGGCUGUUGCAAAAAGAGGCUUGUUGGGGGGUUUUUAUGCAAUUGUUGCAUGGGUUAAGUGUAUAGAGAGGGUUGGAACCUCUCUCUCUCUCUUUCCCUCACCCGUUUAGCCCCAAACGUGCCCCUCUCUAUCUCUAAACGAAAUAGAAGAAAAGAAGAAGAAGAGGAAGGAGAAGAAGAGAAGAAGAAGAAGAAGGAGAAGAAGAUCAAGAAGGGGAUCUUCAACCUCUCCUUCGUCUUCCUCGCGCUUGGAGCAACCUAGAGAGGUAAGCUUUGUUACCCUCUCAUGGUAGAUCUCUAGAAAUAGGUCUAAUUGCUCUAGAAGUGAGAUUAGUAGGCUCCUUUGAUGCUAGUUAGAUGUUUAUUGCAUGAAUCGGAGAUCGAUUUGGGGUAUUUUGCCGUAGUCGCAAACUAGGGCUCAAAAAUGGGAUUUUUGUAAAUAGAUGGGUUUAAUCUCAUUUAACCCUCUGUAAACCUAAUUAGGGGUACAACGAACGCGUUGGUGUGCUCGGUUCGACAAUCCGACGAGCGUACGCGAAGUUAUUAACGAAACAGUCUGUUUUGGUACAGAUAGCCGCAGCACGCGAGAUAAGCCUCCAAAAAUCAUGAAAGCGGAUCGGGAGUAUCGUGGUGUCGUGGAAUAAACUCCAGAAUAGACGGAUCGCGGAUUGGUGGCCGUUCGGGUGGUCGCGCAAGAGUUCGAGCCGAACCGGGUCACGGGUGCCGCGGGAGGCCGAUUGCAAGUGUCGACGAGCAAUCGGAACGCGUGUUAAGGUGGGUUGUGUUUACCGAAGCGACUAGGUCGCCCUUUAUGUCUAAGAUGAUUAAGAAUCCACGUUGAUGCAUAUGCAUGUAAAUAAGGUAUAUAUAUAUAUGAUGCAUAUAAAUGUAAGUGAUGCAUGUUAAUAAUAUGAUGCAAAUGCUAAGUAGAUCCAUGUAAAUGAUAUGUAUAAGUGCAUUGGAAAUGUAUGCUAGAUGCAUGUGUAUAUGGACUUGAUAGGACAAGUAGGAUAUCAAGUAGAUCGAGUGGCAUUAACCUAGUGUUAAUAAAUAUAGGUCGAACAUAGAUGACAUUGAACCUAGCGUUGGUGAACCUAG